UAAUUAAAUUAGAAAUAAAUCUGAGCCGUCCAUCGCGAUGUGAUCUAGGCUGUCAGUGCGUGAUCAAAUGUGGGCCAUUCGCACGUGUGCAAUCUGGAUCGUCCGUGCGCGCAUUUGAUCUGGGCCGUCCGUGCACGCGGGAACGAAUCUCAGCUGUCCGAUCGCGCGCACGCGGAUCGCCCACGGAGCCCGUUCUGCGUGGCUUUCAUGCGUUAGUAUUUAUGCCACGCGGCGUGUCCUGGUUGGCCAAAGCUACGACCGGGCUGCUGACGUGGCUGUUGAUGUGGCGCAAUUUUUCUAAAUUGCGUUUUAACCUCCGGUUUUCGAUUUUCUUUUCAAAAACACCCCUCGAAUCCAAUUUUCACCCCUUUUUUCCAAAAUCAUUUUCAAUUAAAU
rnacentral:lncRNA from 1 species